CGUGUUUGCUUUGUUGUGCUCCUUUUCUCCUUCCCUGUCCUCAUCCCACCGCUUGCAGCCAGCCUCAUCACAUCAGUGUGCGAGUGCGCGAGUGCUUGUGCCUGGCAGCUCUCUUGUGCGACCAUACAAGCUUACCGCCGCUGCAACUCCGCUGCUUCAUUUUUUUAUCUAUUUUUUGGUUUUCUUGGCGUGCUCUUUGCGGCUUCACCCGCCCUGCAGCUGAACCACAGCAUCCGCGAGGCAGACACUUCUCUCUCACUGUGGGUGGUGCCUGCUGGUUUAUACACGACCUCCCCUCUUAUUUCGUACCCCCUUUUUCUUGUCCACUCUCACCACUCUACCUCACGCACACACGCACAUACCCUUACUCAUCCAUAUCCCAAAACUCGCUCCGAUGUAUACUAUCCUCCACGCCUUGUUUUUGUUUCUGCACUAGGUAGUUGUGUCACGCGUUUUUUUUUUUUCGAUUGGCGUUUCGGUGGUACCCCCGGUCACCUCGUGUCUCUCGCGCGUCUUUGAUCUUUCGAUUCCCUUGUGCAUCACGAGAAGGGGCCGGCAGAGGCUUCUCGCUCAGCCACUCGCGCCUCCGCCGAGGCACCACCACACACACCUCUGCGUCUAGGACUACCCUUCCCUUCUCUCCGUUGCCUCCUUUGGAGUAAUGGGCUCCAUUAUUCAUGAAGCCCCUCGUGUGCGGGAGGCGGUGCUCGAGAACCCAGUGCAGGCUUUCUACAUUGUCCCUCGACCACCAUACCAGCACUCGCUUGAUGCUCAUGGUGGACGUCGCUUGAUGCACGGAGGCACCUGCAGGAACGGAUCACCACGCCAAGCGGACCUUCAGCCGUUGCCGCCUGCAGCUCGAAAAACAUCGACUACCACCCACCUAGACUCUAGAUCUGCAUUUGCUCCUGUACGACCGCUGAACGCUCUUCCUGGUUGUGCGGCUGCUGCGCAGCGGUGCCGAUACCGCUCGCCUCGCUCCGCUACGGAGAGGGAGGCGGCCGCAGCGGCCAACCAAACUCUGGCGCGCCUGCAAGCCGCGCCGCCUUCAGCAUCACUCCGGCAUGAUCGGCAAGCGCAUCUCUUGUCGCUCGAGGCGUGGCAGCCGCUUAUUUUGACAGCAGCCCCCGAUCGUGCACCUCGGCAGCCUGUGGCCUCCGUCUCGAGCCCGCAGCACUCUGAGUUUUCGACGUUCGGCCCAACAUGGGCUGCGCCGGGUGGUAGCAGCUCUGGAGCAGAGGGGCUCGGCAAGAUUUCGCUCCGGUGGCAGCUGCGUCGAGGCGACCGCGGCGCGGCGCCGUUUCCGCCCACCUUCGGGGAGCCGGAUGGCCGCGCAGCCGAGAAUCAGCAGCAUCCGCUCCAGAUACUUCACUUUUUAGGCGCCGCCGCCUUCAAUGAUUCCCCACUGUGCACUUUUCUUCCAUGCCUAAGCCUGCGGAUGGCGUCUAGCCAUGCCAGCACCACCGCGCAGAGCACCGACCGACGGUCAACAUCGCGGCCAUCACUGCGUUCGUAUGGCCGGCAGAGCACACGAGCGCGCCGUAGCCGAUCGCGCGCAGAGACGCUGGCUGUGCACCUCGGCGACGUUGAGGCACGCACCUAUCGUGUCGAGGUACCGCAGGGCGAAACAAGUCCACUGCAGCCUUUGCUGAAGGCGUACCCGGACUGCGUCUGGGACGGGUCAGAGUUUUUGCUGCUGCCUCUGUUAGACGAGCAGCGGGAGCCGAGCGAGGUCCUGCCAUCAGCCAUUGCACGAGAGCCGACGGUGCGCGUGCGCGGCGCGGUCGAGGAGAGCGACACGACUGCCACCACGGACAAUGCACCGCUCUUGGGCUUCGGAAGAGAGGCGGCCGACGAAAUGGCGCUCCCUGGCAUGACGACGUUCUUGUGCUCCGCCAAUGCGUCAUUCGGUGGUGCAGGCGGCGGCGGCACGGCGCUCGAUGCAACGCCUCCUCCGUCGUCGCUGGCAAGUGCGUCCAUGGGUGGUGGUGGCUCAGCCGUGAACAGCAUGGGCACCGCAGCCCGCAACACGAUGGGCAUGCAGGCCGGACGGCUCGCGACCACCGCUGUCCCGGUCGUGCCUCGCUGGAAGCGCUUCAGCGUCACAGCCGCCCUGUAUCUGGCCCUCGGCGAUGCCGGCUGCUGCGAUGUGGCCCACUUCCCUUACGCAGCGGUCCAGCUGUGCGGCUGGGACGACCUUGUAGGGCAGCAGCGGAUCCGCAUCGAGGCGAAGGCGAGCUGCUCCGCAGCGGCGAUCAGUGCCCUCGAAAAAGGGACGCAUGGUCGCCGCACCCGGCUCGUACCGGUGGCGGUUAUGUUCCCCAUGUCUCGCAAGGGGGUAAUGCGCCGGCCGUUGUCGCUGACGACGCAGCCCUUCACGGAUGCCGAAGUGUUUCAGCUCUUCUACCUGCAGCUACUCUUUCGCGCCUACUUCGACGUCCGCUUCCGCGGUAUGACCUUCACGCUACCUGAACAAGCAGCUCGGCACCUUCGCUCCGACCUUGUCGCCGCGCGUUCGAGUGGUGGCCACCACGUCGCCUUUGAGCACCCUACGAGGAACGAUGAGUGGCUGCUUUUUCCCGCUCAUACCCGCCUUCUGACGCUGCUGAACCUGGAGGAGGCGGUGGUGCCGCUCUACGCGACGCCAGCGGAGCUGCAGGAGACCUCCUCGCUCCCGCUCUUUGGCGCCGGUGAAACGUUGCCGUGCCUAGGCGUCGCGGGCCGCGGUGCGGCGCAGUGGGCGACAACGGUGGAGGUCAGCAGCCCCGAAACAGCCGUCCUGGCGCUGGCAGCACUCUUCGACAACAUGAAAGGCCAGUUCGGGUGCACUCGUGGUGAGCUGUGGCGCCGCGCCACCGGGGACGCCCGUGCCGGCGCUUUGCCCUUCGCGCCGCUCCUCUUUCGCUGCGGUGAGGUCACUGCGGGGGCGUCGUUGCAGCUCACUGGCGCAUCCCUCUCCCGCUUCUUCGUUCCGCCGAGCAAGCGAGCGGCCGCUGCCACCUCCGUGGCGGCUGCCGCUGGCGCACCUCCUGCGGGUGACGUCUUGGCCGACUCAGCUCCAAGUGGUUCGCUUCUUUCGGGCAUCCCGGCGGGUGACUCGGCGCACACGACCACAGCCAGCUCCACACCCUCCACGUCCACUAGACCGUUGCUGACAGAAAUCGGGCUCCAAGCGGAGACAUUUGCGACUAUGGACACGGUGACCGAAGUGUUACCAGGUGCUGGUGGUACGCGCGCCAGCUCUGAUUGUGACCAAGACAGAGAUGCAGGGCCCCCCAGCUGCUUGGAUGCAGAUGACCUGGCCGGCACGAAGUCAUCGGAGGAGAUGCUGUGCGCCUCCAAGAGCGCCCCACCCGUGGUGGUGCACUUGGGCCCUGUUGAUGAUACUGCCGGCGCCACGUCCGCGCAAAGCCCCGACAUCGUACCCGCCUUAGUUUCUACUGUGGAUUUGGCUCAGGAGGAGGAUGCCGAAAGGGUCGAGGUGCCGCCACUCCGUGUCGUAGCAAACGCCGAAGGUGUGGGAUUGGACGAGGCGACGACGCCCUGCAGCGAGUUGCGAAGCGCCUCCUCUGUUGGUCCGUUGAGCCCGUGUACGAAGUGGGAGGGCUUGAUCACGCGCUGGCGUCAUUACAUCCACACCGGCGACUGCGCCAUCUUCACUGGUGCUACGACUGACGUAGAGGUGCUACGGUUUCUCGGUCGAGGCGGCAGCGGCCUUGUAUACAGCGGCACCUACGGCUCUCAGCGCCUCCCUGUGGCGGUAAAGGUGUUUGUCAUACCCGAAGACAUGGACCACGAGCAGUACGUGCAAGAGUCUCUCACGGAUGUCGCGUUCUACGUCUUGUUGAAUCAGCUGGAAGACUUUGGUGUGUGCUACGGCGGCCGCGCCCACGACUUCAUUGUGAGCCAGCAGACGCCGAAGGGGCUACCAGCAGAGGCCGCGGCCGAGGCGAGACGCGGGGACGACGGCGCGACAACAAAGUUGUGCUACUUAGUCACAGACUUGAUGGACGGUACACUGGGGCGGUUCUUGACGGAGCAGGACGCCGACUUCGACCCCUUGUACGACCAGCUGCUCAACUCCCCCCUGCGCGAUGGUGAGCUUUUCCAGUUCCUCUUUAUCCAACUCGCCGCCAAGAUGCUGUUCGACUGGAAAGUGCUGGAUAUGAUGCUGAACAAUCAGCUCCGUGGGGACAACAUUGGGUACCGCUACGUGGCGCGACCGCCAGCGCAAACCGCGCGCCUGAGGGAGAGCGCAGAGGAGGCUGUGGCGCUGGCCGGGUCACGCCAGUAUCACGCUGGUAUUCUGUACGGCUUCCAGUUUGGACCUGAUGAGUCGUUACACUACCUGCGCUUUCCCGCCGAGACAGGUGUGGCAGAUUAUGCCAACUUGGGUCCGCUGCGCUUCAUCUGCAUCAUCGAUGUAGGACAAGGCAUGCAACCGAAUGUGGAAGAGCUCGUGCGCAACCGUUACAUCGGUGAAACGGUGCUUGAGUCGUGCAUCGAGGACGAUGGCUUUGGCCGGUACUGGCCGCUUAACGAGCUGUACUGCCGCUACGUGGACGUCGAAGGAACUCUCGCUAAGGACGUGGCCGCGUGGGGCAGCGCGCGGCGAGUGACUACGAAAGAGGAUGCCUUUCAGGCGCUACGUGAGCUCUUCGAUUACUUCUACCCGACCUUCGGCAUCGAGGCGCCGACAGAGGAGGAGCUGCACACGCACUUGUGUUUCUCGUGGACCUCAACCAACCUAGAGCACCUCAAAGCCGCGUACGUCUACCGGGGCGAGUGAGUACACAGUCGGAUCCACCUAAGCGAAAG
rnacentral:misc_RNA from 1 species